AACGAACGCUGGCGGCAUGCCUAACACAUGCAAGUCGAACGAGACCUUCGGGUCUAGUGGCGCACGGGUGCGUAACGCGUGGGAACCUGCCCUUAGGUUCGGAAUAACUCCCCGAAAGGGGUGCUAAUACCGGAUAAUGUCUUCGGACCAAAGAUUUAUCGCCUUUGGAUGGGCCCGCGUUGGAUUAGCUAGUUGGUAGGGUAAAAGCCUACCAAGGCGACGAUCCAUAGCUGGUCUGAGAGGAUGAUCAGCCACACUGGGACUGAGACACGGCCCAGACUCCUACGGGAAGGAGGAGUGGGGGAUAUUGGAAAAUGGGCGGAAGGCUGAACCAGCAAUGCCGCGUGAGUGAUGAAGGCCUUAGGGUUGUAAAGCUCUUUUACCCGGGAUGAUAAUGACAGUACCGGGAGAAUAAGCUCCGGCUAACUCCGUG
rnacentral:rRNA from 1 species